ACUAACACUUUCAAUUUAAGUUGCAACAUCUGGAUUGCCUACCCUAUCAAAUGCAUGGAAUGGACUGAGACUUCACAUUAACUUAAAUCAUCCCCAAGUUCACGCUUUUAAAUCCAAGUAUGAUAGUACAUUUGACAAUUAAUAUGCUUGCCAUACUUUAUGUUAAUUAAGUAUACUUCCAUUUGCUUCAUUUAAUUUGCAUUUACAUUAUGUGAUCAGGCUAGGAUCCAUACAAUCACUUGCUACACCAUCUCAGUCAAUCACCCAAACUUCGGAUUCAUUUGUUCAUUCUGGUAAGAAAACCUGGACAAACUCUAACGAGGUCAAGAGUAUCCAUCAUAUCAGUGAAAUGGGCAAGGUUUGUCUUUUUUUUAGUAUUUCAAAUUGACAAACUUCAUCAUAUAUCUCCUGACAAGUUCUGAUGUCACUUUAGAAUUAUUUUGCCAUAACCAUUGGAAAUACAAAAAUAUUUAAGGCCUCUAAGUUUGGAUGGUAUUUCGGGGCUUGCCCCGAUUGUAAGACAUUGAAUAAGUCCCCCGGAACCAAAUUUGUCUGUGUUUGGGGAGUUAAAAAUGUUGAACAUGUAUCAAAGUAAGAUUUCUAGUUCAUUUUGCAACUUUCAAGUCUUAUUUAUGAAGUUGUUGUUAUUACAUAUACUACUAUUAUUUUCAUGUCAUAGUAAAAAAUUGGAAUAGAAGUCGAGUUUGAUAAUCACAUGGGAUACUUUGUGUUUUGGGAUAAAGAUUGUACCAUACAUUAAUAUGAAUGCUAGAGAUUGAGACAACUCAUGAAGGAGGUAAAUACAUGAUUCAAGCGCUACUUUUAAUUUUCAAGUUUACGACUUAAUUCACCUACAUUUCAAUGACUAAUUUUAUUUUUGAGAUAGGCUGGAGAGGAUAACCCAAAAAUAUAUAUGAUACACCUAGACAAACUUUUGAACCAAGAUCUUGCAUUUAAAGUUAAGUAUCAAUCAUUUUUCUAACAACUCUCAAUUCCGACAAUCAUUAAUGAGCCUGGUUUUUACAAGACCUUAUAUGAAGUUCUUAAACCAUAUGAGGUACAGUGCAUUAACCUUUAUAAUAUAUACUUUUUGUUUGACUCGUUAUCAAGGUUUUCAUUUUCCAUAUUUUGAUCAAAUAUAUGCUUUUAAUUUAUGGAUUAAUGUGUUGGCAACAUACUUCAAAGGUUGUAGUGUUGGUAACAUACACAGACCAUGAUGUGGACAUUCAACAUGAACCUAUUUAAUGUAUUAAUUCUUAACCUCAUACAUAAGUUUCUAUAUAUUUUUCAUUCUUAAUUCAUAGUAUACUUACCAAUUAAUUCUGUAAUGUGUAGCCGACCAAAUCUUAUGAGCAAACCUUGUAUGAAUUUCCAACAACUUAUGCCAACCAAACUUGUAGUUUGUCCACUUGAUCUAGCAACACCCAUGGUAAAAUGGUUUUCGUUUCAACUACUCUUGAUGAUAUUUUGCAAUAUGAAGUACUAACUCCAAUGCAAUCUUCAACCAAGGUUAAGCACCUCAAGAAGGAGUGAUCAUAUAAUGCAGGCCUCAUUUUUUGUGGCAUUGAAAUGUUUUGUUGAGAUCAACCAUGUAAGGAUUAAUGCCAUCCUCUUAGAACUAUGACAAUUUAAUUAAGUC
rnacentral:lncRNA from 1 species